rnacentral:rRNA from 1 species
UACGGGGGGGUGCGAGCGUUGUCCGGAAUCACUGGGCGUAAAGGGCGCGUAGGUGGUCUGAUAAGGGUGUGGUGAAAGCCCGGGGCUCAACCCCGGGUCGGCCGUGCCGACUGUUAGACUAGAGUGCUGUAGGGGCAGGCGGAAUUCCGGGUGUAGCGGUGAAAUGCGUAGAUAUCGGGAGGAACACCAGUGGCGAAGGCGAGUCCCUGGACAAUUCCUGACGCUGAGGAGCGAAAGCGUGGGGAGCGAACAGG